GACCAAGAAGCACCGGCUAAAUACGUGCCAGCAGCCGCGGUAAUACGUAUGGUGCAAGCGUUAUCCGGAUUUACUGGGUGUAAAGGGAGCGCAGGCGGCGCGGCAAGUCCGAUGUGAAAACCCCCGGCUCAACCGGGGGACGGCCCGGGGGACGGCGUCGCUGGAGGGCGGCAGAGGCCGGUGGAAUUCCCGGUGUAGUGGUGAAAUGCGUAGAGAUCGGGAGGAACACCUGUGGCGAAGGCGGCCAGCUGGGCCGACCCUGACGCUGAGGCACGAAGGCGUGGGGAGCGAACGGGAUUAGAUACCCUUGUAGUCCUA
rnacentral:rRNA from 1 species